rnacentral:rRNA from 1 species
GACGAACGCUGGCGGCGUGCCUAAUACAUGCAAGUUGAGCGCUGAAGGUUGGUACUUGUACCAACUGGAUGAGCAGCGAACGGGUGAGUAACGCGUGGGGAAUCUGCCUUUGAGCGGGGGACAACAUUUGGAAACGAAUGCUAAUACCGCAUAAAAACUUUAAACACAAGUUUUAAGUUUGAAAGAUGCAAUUGCAUCACUCAAAGAUGAUCCCGCGUUGUAUUAGCUAGUUGGUGAGGUAAAGGCUCACCAAGGCGAUGAUACAUAGCCGACCUGAGGGGGUGAUCGGCCACAUUGGGACUGAGACACGGCCCAAACUCCUACGGGAGGCAGCAGUAGGGAAUCUUCGGCAAUGGACGAAAGUCUGACCGAGCAACGCCGCGUGAGUGAAGAAGGUUUUCGGAUCGUAAAACUCUGUUGGUAGAGAAGAACGGUGGUGAGAGUGGAAAGCUCAUCAAGUGACGGUAACUACCCAGAAAGGGACGGCUAACUACGUG